rnacentral:rRNA from 1 species
UGAACCUGCGGAAGGAUCAUUAACGAGUUUUGACAUGGGUUGUAGCUGGCCUCACGAGGCAUGUGCACGCCCUGCUCAUCCACUCUACACCUGUGCACUUACUGUAGGUUUGGCGUGGGCUUUCGGGGCCUUCACGGGCUUUGAGAGCAUUCUGCCUGCCUAUGUAUCACUAUAAACACUACAAAGUAACAGAAUGUAAUCGCGUCUAACGCAUCUUAAUACAACUUUCAGCAACGGAUCUCUUGGCUCUCGCAUCGAUGAAGAACGCAGCGAAAUGCGAUAAGUAAUGUGAAUUGCAGAAUUCAGUGAAUCAUCGAAUCUUUGAACGCACCUUGCGCUCCUUGGUAUUCCGAGGAGCAUGCCUGUUUGAGUGUCAUGGUAUUCUCAACCCACACAUCCUUGUGAUGCUUGUGAGGCUUGGACUUGGAGGCUUGCUGGCCCAUCGCGGUCGGCUCCUCUUGAAUGCAUUAGCUUGGUUCCUUGCGGAUCGGCUCUCAGUGUGAUAAUUGUCUACGCUGUGACCGUGAAGCGUUUG